rnacentral:tRNA from 1 species
GACUUAGCUUAGUUGGUAGAGCGCCUGCUUUGCACGCAGGAGGUCAACGGUUCGACUCCGUUAGUCUCCACCACUAAUUAAAGACUAAGUGAUUACAGAACUUAGUAAGCAGAUAGCUUAUUAAGUUCUGUGAUUUAUCACAGUUAACUACUCGCUGACGAGGCAGUAGUGAAUCAUUAACAGAAUAUAUUUGAGUUGAAAUAAUUGUUUAAACUCGUUUUAGUUGAUGUUAGCAAGCAAUUGUUAAUGUUGAAUGAAAUGAGCACUAGCGAUAAAACUGAAUCAAGCGUUUUGGUAUAUGAAUUAAAUUGAAGCUGUAUAGUGAUUAAAUUCACAGGCAACAAAUAGAAGUGGUUAAGUCCACAUUGUUGAUCCUCCCUUGUAGGGAU